UUUUCUUCAUAUGGAAAUUAGAACAGGACAAUGUGUUACCCAUCAAAGCAUCUUUCAAAAAAGUUUCCAGCCCAGUGAUGGGCUUUGGUUCUGGCAAUAUUUGCUUUUUAUAGCAUAUUUCUAUGAAAUAAUGAAGAAAAAAAAAUACAUUCAGUGUCUUAAAGGUAUUUAAUAUAUACACUUCAUUAAAUUUAAAUGAAGUAAAAUUAUAUUUUAUGUCUCAAUGAUGCAGACAUUGAAUUUGAAUACUUGGCAUGCCCUGAAUCAGUUUAGUUUUCCUCUGGCGCCAUCUUGAGGUGGCAGUCUUUCGAUGGUUUAAUAGCAGUAAAAUUCACAUUGAAUGAAUCCCAUGUUGAUAACCUUACUAUUGUUUCAUUUAUAAAAAUAAAGUAGCAAGUGCUGUUUUGAACUGUUCAAUCUACAUAUUCAAGCUAAUCUAAACUGCAUAUAGGACAAAAUAUUUAGUUUUAUUAAAGUGUAUUCACACCUUUGCAAACUCUGUUGCAAAUGUGGAACUUAGAGUUAUUUCCAAAAGUGUUCGAGCCCCUGGAGCUAUUUUGGAAAGAACAAGCAUAAAUAAAAAUGUUCCUAUCAUUUGAUGAUCAUGCACUUCUUCCAUGAAAUCCUGUAAACAUACAGCAAAGUUUGUUUUUUAAUGUAAUAAAUUAUGGGAAAAUUCCAUAGGUAUGAAUACUUUUGCACAAUCUAAAGUGAUACAGAUGACACAGAAGUAACACAAACAGCAAUGAAGUAAAGGAAAACUAUGGGUGGCCUCAGAUGUGGUUGUUUGAAAGAUUUAAUUGCUUUUCAAAUGCUAUAAUGGCUCUGUUCAUAGUAAGGAAAUGGUAUGAUUCUGAAAAUUGCCCACUGCUCUUGAGGCCAAUGAGAGACCAGUUCUGACAGAAAGAAGAAACUUUGCUGCAGUUACCACUGAAGUUACUGCACUAUAAAAGCAUUGGAUACCAUUAAAGAUAACCUGUACACUGGUUCAGGAAGAAUAUUUGUGGCAAAGAAUAUUCAGGCUACUCAAACAGGCUCCUUGAAAUGUGGCUGCAUUCAAAAUGCUUAUCAAUGGUUUACAAGCUUUCAUGGAUGCUACUGCAUGUGACACUCAGCAAACCCUUCAUCACUGUGUAAUGAAUAUUAAUUAAAAUUGAAGCAGUGAGUUAUGUGCUGAAUUGUCAUUAAAUCUUUAAACUGGGUGAGGCCAAUAUAAAUGCCAAGAGGCCCGCUCUGCACUUUAAUGAAGAAUCUUCAAAGGUCACUCAUGCAGACAAUGGCAUUUAUAAAACAAUUUGCGUCCAAUGCUUUUAUUAAAAUGGCAAAGGCUGUUUUAUCAAAUUAUUUUGGAAAUACGCUGCUGUUUUCUGCUGAACUAAGUGCAAUUUCUCAUCUCUUUUCUGAUAUUUUAAAAAACAGUAUAAAACCUAUUUGUCCUUAAUGUUUGUGUUAUGAAUCAAAGUUCUUCAAUAUUUAAUUUGCAAGGCUACUUUUUUAAAGGUGUGUGUAUUAACACACCUACAAUAGAGUUGAUAGUUUUCUGUUGAUGCACAGUACUUCUCUGAGUGCAAUGUCUGUGGAUGUAUCUGUGUGUAUGUAUAUUUAUCUAUGCACUUUUCUGGAUAUUACUUCUAAAACAAAAUAAUUUGAGCUUUUUUCAUAAUUUUAAAUACAACCUGCUAAUCAUCAUGAUUGUUUAUGUAAAUGGGUUUUUUGUUGUUGUUGUUGUUUAAAAAAAAAAAAUGUAUUUGUCUGGAGCAACCACUUUGAUUCCGGAUUUCAUUUAUUGAUUAAAAGCCUGUGUGUCCGAGUUGGAAAAGAACAAGUUUAAUCCCAUUAGCCCCAUCGUACAGGAGUCUUAAAAAGAAACUGGAACUAUCUGUAACAGCUUACUGGAUUAGAACCCUUCCUGAACUCAUGUAACCUGGGUGACUGUGGGGCUCCAAUUAUGUUACACCUAGUCAAAAAAAACUUGUGGUUUUAGUUGAACUGAACUUUAUUUAUGAUAUAGAUGAAAGUUUUUUAAUAGCUGGUAACUCAGUAACUAUUAACAAGUGCUCAGAUGUCAAACCACAUCAGUUAUUCCCUAUAAAUAGUAAAGCUUAGAUGUCUGUGACAAGUGGAUCCAUGUAACUAAUUCAGGAAUGAGUAGCUUGUUGGUAUUUUUCCACAUUCAGCGUUUGAAAUCUCAGUGGGAGAGCAAAGUGCCAAAAUCACCCUGUCAAUGUGAAAUAUUUAAAGUUUUCAUGUUAUUUGACAACAUUUAAAAACAAAACAUAUUCAUCCUCAGUACAGCCUUCACCUAUUUUUAAAAAAUGUUUUCAUGGCACCCAGGGCCGAGAAUCAACUCAGUGACCACUGUUUGGAGAGAUGUAACCUCUCGAUUUAGUGCACCUGCUCUACAAACGAGUCAUAUGUUGCACCUGGAAUUGACUUUUUACAAAGACGUUUGUAGAGCAUCAAUAACAUUGGACCUUUUUCAUAUUUAAUUGUGUUACAACCCCAAACUUUAUGUAGUUUAACAGUGUAAGACUGAAUACACAAAAUAGUGGAUGGUCACGAUGUCCUGGCUGGUAGUUUAAAAUGACACAUUUAUCACAGUUGCAUCUCUUAACAGAUUAGCAUUAAGUUAUUAUUAUCAUUAUAAGCAAAAUUGCUGAAAAUGUUUCAAAAUCCUAUUUUGUUUUGACAAAUACAUGUGAACAUACAGAGACAUGACACCCUUUGCUGCUAUUUUUGAGCUAUUUUAACUUUACUUUCAGUGCUAUCUUAAUAGCAAAGAAUGCUCCAGCUAGUGAGAUUUAUUUACCUGUAAUAAAUAGGUCUGGUUCAGGGAGUCUUUGGUAAAAAAUGUUCAUUGAUAUUUAAAGUGGAAAGUUUUCUAAUGUCAAUGUUCAGAAAAAGUCCAGUUGCUUUGGAACAAUGGCAGGAUGAUAUAAUAGUAUUACAUUACUCACUCCUAAGCUGAGAUAGAUAACCAGCUUAGCCCAUUGCAGGCUAUUGGGCUAACUAUUUCUGAUCCCAUUGACGUUGCAGGAAGCCAGGCUUAAAAUAAUAAGAGGAGCAGCCUCACAAGGUUAUAAAAGGAUGCACAAAGAGGGUUUGAGGUAGAUGCCAGAUUACACGUGUCCUAUUCGGACCUGAAACAGGCGGCCACAAUCUGUAAACAUGGAUCCUGCAGCUCAGACCCUGAACGCCAGCGCAGCCUUCAACAGAGAGGCCUUCCCCAGGAGAGCCAUGCGAGCGGCACCCAGAGGAGUCUCAUCUCACUUUGUGGGGACUUCAAUUGUGAUCCUGUCUUCGUUUGCUGUCUCCGCCUUGGCUAUGAACUGUGGGAAGAGGAUCCAGGAGUUGAGACAAAAACCUCAUGGAAGCUAAAACACCUGGACUGAUGAAUAUGCCUUCAAUAGCUACCAUGAGUUAAGAGUUCUUACAAUUACGAUUUUCUUUUUCUUUUUUUGCAAAGCCAUAUUAUCUGGCUCUUGUGGUCAGCUUUCUCGUGUCCUUGUACCAUAAAGUGUGGGUGUAUGUUUAGCAUGAGGCAUCUUAAUGAAUGGUCUGAGGAACCAGAAGGAUGUGAGACCUCUAGUGGAUGAGUUUGAGACUCCUCUGGCUUCCACCAAUGUAUGUCUUGUUGAACUGGUGCUGAUUUCAGAAAGGUGGAAAAAAAAUAUGCAGUAAUAUCAAGAAGCCUCUUCCAAAUGUUACCUCAGAUUUGUUGUCAUAGUGAUAAAAACAACAUUGAAAACUAGAAAAAAAGAUGGCUCUGCUCAGAGUGUGCAGAAAGUGAAAGGUGCAAAUGUUAGAAUGCGUGGCCUACAGAAAGAAAGAUAGCAUGUAAUACAUCUUUAGGGUCUAUUUGGAUCUGAAUAAUCUUAUACACCUCCAGGUGCAUGUUAUAUAUUUUAUUAACAGAAAAUCCUCUAGAGGUCACAUUUAAUAUUGGACUUUAAUCGUUUUGUAGAAUCACAUUCAACAUAAUCAUUAUAUCUUUGUAUUUCAGCUGUCUUUUCUCUACAAAGAAAAAUAUUAGAGGUAUUGUGUAUUAGAAGACCUGCAAGCUGUUGUCUCUGGUUUGAUGAAUGAAAAGUAAAAUAUUUUUCCCUAU